UACAAUUGCAAUUCUAAAAAAAGUAGAAACAAAAAGGGUGAAGAAGCUCGAGAGUGAACCGGAAAGCUUCAUUCACCGCCGGCGGAUUCGUACCGGUUAAUUGCCCUUUUCUCACCAAUUGCAAUCUCAGAUUCACUUUUUUCAAUCAUUGUUUCUUUGCGUGAUUUCAAUUUAUGGCUGAUGAAAUUUUACCCUUUUCCCCGUGCAGCGGUGUUGCAACGAAUGGUUGUGGCAGCAUAUUAGCACAAGUUCUUCUUUUGGAGGAAGCAACAUGGCAUUCAGCUCUCAAAGCUUUCUUGCUCAACUAGUUAAAUGUUUUUAACUGAUGCCGCACAGAAUUGAACACUCUCACUUUGCAAUUACUGCAUAGAAAUCUGUAUGUGCAGCUUAGAAUCUAAGAAUAUAUUUUUUUUUCAUGUUGUAUAGUUCUGAAUGAAUCCCUUGUUACUGGAUUAAUGAUUUGUUACGCUAUGCUACAUGGCAGGAUUUGCAAACAUGCCUCGUAAAGUGAAUUACGGAGUUGAUUAUGAUGAUGGUGAUGAUUAUGAAGGCUAUGAAGAUGACUAUGAUUAUGAUUAUGAUGAAGAAGUGGAAGAAAAUGGUGAACCUUUUUUUACUUCUUCUAUGUAUAGAGAGAGAAACGUGUGAAGCUAAAGAGAGCCUGUUUCUCCUCAACUGAUUUCCAGAAACAAAAUGUGGUUGCUUUGUAUCAUGAAUCUUACCUUUAGUUGUACACUGUUAUAGUAAAGUGCAAGGUCUGGUGGAAUUCAAUAAUUAAGUAAGCAGAGGUCAUAGAUUGCAGGAUAGAAGCCACAUGCAUACCUAUUCACUAUAUAGAAUGAGAUUAUCUUAUGCUGUACCCUGCGUAUUCUUGCUGAACACCUUCCCUGCCAUGCGUGGCUGGAAGGCGGUGUUCAGUCGGCGUGCUGUUUCAGUGGUGGUGUGACAGCUUGCCUGCUGUGGGUGGUGGGUUUUUCGGUUGAGCGGCGGUUUUGUUUGCUGGACUUUUUGCUUGUUUUUGCUUGGAGCACUUGUUUUUGCUUGGAUCUUUGGUCGAGCACUUGAUGUGCAUAUUUCUCUUUGUUUUGGAUCUCUUGCAGUUGCUCUGUAUAUAACUUGGGGAUUUAGUAAAGUUUAUUUUUCCUUCAAGUGCAUAUUGUGGUCCUUGUACAGUGCAUGACGUGUUCAAAAAGUCGACCUGUUAUAAUAGAAAAUGCGAUUUUUCUUUAAAGUUUUCACCCGUUGAAAGGAAAUCAAAGAUGUAUUGUACCAUUAGCAGUUGGUUACUCUAGAUUUUUCCAGGAAAGGUUGUACUGUGUGAUCCAAAAAAUGCUGCUUUUGCACCUAGUGUUAGAAGAAUGAUUUUCUUGUUCUUUGAAGCCAUCAAAUUUUGUAGUUCAUUUGAAUUCUAACGAUGAUAUUCAGGAACUUCGAACUUGAUAUUAGGGUUUAUUUAUUUCUUUUCUUUUGCCGAUUAUACAAACAUCAUCCUCUUUAUUUGUUUCAUGAUAGGUCUUACAGCUAAAACGAUGCCUACAAAAGAAGUUAGCGAGACUAAGGUCUGGCGAUGCCCAAUAUGUACCUAUGCAAUGUAUCGCUCAUUACUGAGUGUGAGCCAUUCUGUCCAACUGAAACCUGUCUAGCUUCCUUAAAAGUGUGGGUUGAGAAACAACUGUUCAGGCUUUUACUGGGCCCACCAGCUUGUACAUCACCUUUACUAAAGCUUUGAUCACCUUUACUAAAGCUUUGAUCAUUUUGAUCUCGUCCUGCAGCCGUGCUCUUCAAAUCAGAUUGGAAUUGCUGAGUUGUAUGUCUUGAACCUCCAGACAUGGAUGCAUUGACAUUUUUUGCUAAAGGAAUGCUUUUCCCAGGUUUACUAUAACUUCUAGA
rnacentral:lncRNA from 1 species